rnacentral:rRNA from 1 species
GACGAACGCUGGCGGCGUGCUUAACACAUGCAAGUCGAGCGAAGUUUUUCUGGUGUUUGCACUAGAAAAACUUAGCGGCGAACGGGUGAGUAACACGUAAAGAACCUGCCUCAUAGACUGGGACAACUAUUGGAAACGAUAGCUAAUACCGGAUAACAGUAUUUCUCGCAUGGGAGAUAUUUAAAAGUUGGUUAUGCUAACACUAUGAGAUGGCUUUGCGGUGCAUUAGCUAGUUGGUGGGGUAAAGGCCUACCAAGGCGACGAUGCAUAGCCGACCUGAGAGGGUGAUCAGCCACACUGGGACUGAGACACGGCCCAGACUCCUACGGGAGGCAGCAGUAGGGAAUCUUCCGCAAUGGGCGAAAGCCUGACGGAGCAACGCCGCGUGAGUGAAGAAGGAUUUCGGUUCGUAAAGCUCUGUUGUUAGGGAAGAAUGGAUAUGUAGUAACUAUACAUAUAAGAGACG